rnacentral:rRNA from 1 species
UGCCCCGAGAUGAGUUCUCCCUGAGACUUAGAGUCUCCUGAAGGAACGUUGAAGACGACGACGUUGAUAGGCCGGGUGUGUAAGCGCAGCGAUGCGUUGAGCUAACCGGUACUAAUGAACCGUGAGGCUUAACCUU